GGGUUGUGAGGUUAAGCGACUAAGCGUACACGGUGGAUGCCCUGGCAGUCAGAGGCGAUGAAGGGCGUACUAAUCUGCGAUAAGCGCCGGUAAGGUGAUAUGAACCGUUAUAACCGGCGAUACCCGAAUGGGGAAACCCAGUGUGAUUCGUCACACUAUCAUUAACUGAAUCCAUAGGUUAAUGAGGCGAACCGGGGGAACUGAAACAUCUAAGUACCCCGAGGAAAAGAAAUCAACCGAGAUUCCCCCAGUAGCGGCGAGCGAACGGGGAGGAGCCCAGAGCCUGAAUCAGCAUGUGUGUUAGUGGAAGCGUCUGGAAAGGCGCGCGAUACAGGGUGACAGCCCCGUACACAAAAGCGCAUGUGCUGUGAGCUCGAUGAGUAGGGCGGGACACGUGGUAUCCUGUCUGAAUAUGGGGGGACCAUCCUCCAAGGCUAAAUACUCCUGACUGACCGAUAGUGAACCAGUACCGUGAGGGAAAGGCGAAAAGAACCCCGGCGAGGGGAGUGAAAAAGAACCUGAAACCGUGUACGUACAAGCAGUGGGAGCACCCUUUGGGUGUGACUGCGUACCUUUUGUAUAAUGGGUCAGCGACUUAUAUUCUGUAGCAAGG
rnacentral:rRNA from 1 species